rnacentral:rRNA from 1 species
AUUGAACGCUGGCGGCAGGCCUAACACAUGCAAGUCGAGCGAGCGGCGGACGGGUGAGUACUGUCUGGUAAACUGCCUGAUGGAGGGGGAUAACUACUGGAAACGGUAGCUAAUACCGCAUACCAUCAGAUGUGCCCAGGUGGGAUUAGCUGGUAGGUGGGGUAACGGCUCACCUGGGCGACGAUCCCUAGCUGGUCUGAGAGGAUGACCAGCAAAACUGGAACUGAGACACGGUCCAGAGUCCUACGGAGGGCAGCAGGGGCGAAUAAUGCACAAUGGGCGCAAGCCUGAUGCAGCCAUGACGCGUGUGUGAAGAAGGCCUUCGGGUUGUAAAGCAAUUUCAGCGGGGAGGCGUUACCCGCAGAAGAAGCACCGGCUAACUCCGUGCCAGCAGCCGCGGUAAUAC